AUUGAACGCUGGCGGCAGGCCUAACACAUGCAAGUCGAACGAGUGGCGGACGGGUGAGCAAUGUCUGGGAACCUGCCUGAUGUAGGGGGAUAACUACUGGAAACGGUAGCUAAUACCGCAUAACACCGUAUGUGCCCAGAUGGGAUUAGCUAGUAGGUGGGGUAACGGCUCUCCUAGGCGACGAUGCCUAGCUGGUCUGAGAGGAUGACCAGCCACACUGGAACUGAGACACGGUCCAGACUCCUACGGGAGGCAGCAGUGGGGAAUAUUGCACAAUGGGCGCAAGCCUGAUGCAGCCAUGCCGCGUGUAUGAAGAAGGCCUUCGGGUUGUAAAGUACUUUCAGCGGGGAGGCGUUACCCGCAGAAGAAGCACCGGCUAACUCCGUGCCAGCAGCCGCGGUAAUUC
rnacentral:rRNA from 1 species